UAGGGACCGAGCCUUACACUCCUAAGCAAAUGCUGCCUGACAUCUCCAGGCCCUGACUUGCAUGAAUAGCUAAGAGGUUUAAAACACUGGUGGCCAUUCAUUUAGAAACUCCCUGUGAGCAAUGUGGCAGAUCAGUGCCUGCCACUGCAACCUUCCCUCCGGGCUCAUGGCUUGUCCAGAAUCCUCUGUUCACAUGGAGGCUGCAGCUUGCCACUGUCACUUGAAGUUGAUCUGAGGCAUUGGUAUUAGAGGGAAGAACGUUGGGGGUACCUGUAGGCAGAGGCAAUGGAGUUGGAGACUACUGCUUAUCAUCACUAUGAAGGAGCAAACAGCAGAUGCACAGUUUCUUUCAAUCA